GCGCUUGUGGUGGAAUUGGCAGACACGCUACUUUGAGGUGGUAGUGGCUAACGCCGUGCAGGUUCAAGUCCUGUCAAGCGCACCA
rnacentral:tRNA from 2 species